rnacentral:rRNA from 1 species
GUGGGGAAUAUUGGACAAUGGGCGAAAGCCUGAUCCAGCCAUGCCGCGUGUGUGAAGAAGGUCUUCGGAUUGUAAAGCACUUUAAGUUGGGAGGAAGGGCAGUAAGUUAAUACCUUGCUGUUUUGACGUUACCGACAGAAUAAGCACCGGCUAACUUCGUGCCAGCAGCCGCGGUAAUACGAAGGGUGCAAGCGUUAAUCGGAAUUACUGGGCGUAAAGCGCGCGUAGGUGGUUUUGUAAGUUGGAGGUGAAAUCCCCUGGCUCAACCUGGGAACUGCCUCCAAAACUGCAUGACUAGAGUACGGUAGAGGGUAGUGGAAUUUCCUGUGUAGCGGUGAAAUGCGUAGAUAUAGGAAGGAACACCAGUGGCGAAGGCGACCACCUGGACUGAUACUGACACUGAGGUGCGAAAGCGUGGGGAGCAAACAGGAUUAGAAACCCGGGUAGUCC